AAUGAACGUUGGCGGCGUGGAUUAGGCAUGCAAGUCGAGCGGAAAGGCCCGCAAGGGCACUCGAGCGGCGUAAGGGACAGUAAUGUGUAGGUAACGUACCCCUGGGUCUAGGAUAGCUGCGGGAAACUGCAAUUAAUACUAGAUAACGUCUCCGGACCAAAGGUGUGAUUCCACCUGGGGAGCGGCCUACAUCCUAUUAGCUAGUUGGCGAGGUAAUGGCUCACCAAGGCGAAGAUGGGUAGCAGGUGUGAGAGCACGACCUGCGUCACUGGGACUGAGACACUGCCCAGACACCUACGGGUGGCUGCAGUCGAGAAUCUUCGGCAAUGGGCGAAAGCCUGACCGAGCGACGCCGCGUGUGGGAUGAAGGCCUGGUUGUAACCACUGUCGGAGGGAUGAAGUGUAGUGGUACUCCCAUUAACUUGACUGAUCC
rnacentral:rRNA from 1 species